CACACCAGGCCUGUCAGCUUCCCCAGGAGCUAGCUGUCUGAAGCCCCGGCAAGUUACCUGUCUGGCCCAAGGUCACGGGGCUAAGGGACGGGCAAGGCCGGCCCACGCUGGAGACCCCAGAGCUGUGCGGCCCUGCCUCCCUGGAAGUUCUUCACAACUAACCCCAGGUCGGGGAGGAAACCUGUCGUCGGGAGGCAAAGAAACGGCACGGCCAAGGUCACCGGGCUUACAAGCGCUGGGAACAGGGAUCCCGCGGCUCAGUGAUGUUUACAAUAACCCAGGGAGGACUGGUAUCAACUGGUAUCAACACUUUACAGAUGAGGAAACUGAGGCUCAGAAAACUGCAAUGACCAUCAAAGAAUGCAUAGCUAGUCAAAGACGGAGCUGGGACCAGAAUAUGGGUCUUUUGAUCCUGUACUGAGUGCUCACCCUCUACAAAUCAUGUGGCAGGAACUGCAAAAGUAAUGCUACAUCCAUCUGACAUUAUUCGGAAGGGAAAGUGAAGAUGCCAACAUUAAUGAGCUCCUACUGUGUGCCAGGCAUUUUACAGACAUUAUUUCUUUGCAGCCCUUUGAGCUGCCAUUGGUAGGAUGAUGCCUCUUUCUCAGUAGCUCCAGGAGGAUGCGUGUGGUUGGCUGGGCUUGGGUCACAUGCCAUCUAAGAAGCCAGGUGGACUCAGUUCCACCAGCAGCACAUGGAAUGAGGAGUGGUGGCUCCUGGAGCAAAAUAAGGGUACUGUUUCCAGAGGGAGGAAGAAUGGAUGCUGGACAUUUAUGAAUGCUGUCAUGGGCAAGACGGGGAUGGAAUUGUCAAAGUCUGUGUGGGUUUGUAUAUGGUUGGAUGCUUAGUUAAAUAUGGACCAUAACCAAAAUAUUCUCUCUGCCUGGAAUCUGCCACACUUCCCCAGUUCCCAGCCCAUCCACAUUCAGGGGCACUCUGCCUUCUGCCCUUAGCUCCCCAUCUCUCUCCCUCUGAAUGGGCUGGUUCUGACUCAGCUUUAGUUAACUGUUGCCAUUUUGGAACUCUGGCUCAGAGUUGCCAAGCCUUCUGAUUCGUCUUUUAAGUCAAGCCAGAAAUCAAAAUUAAUUUGUGAAAAACAGUUCAAAUUUUUAAAAUACACUAUUGGACCAAAUGAACACGUAUGUGGGCUACAUCUGACCUGCACAUUGUAACUAUUGCCCUAAAUCGUUCUCUCCUACUAAAUGUAGGACUUCAGUGUUCUGAUUUUUCCACUAGUCUGCCUGUUGCACUACUAACGUCUUAAGGGUAGGGAACAUGUUUCUGUUCCUCUUUGUAUCCAUAGCACCCAGCACAAUGCCUGAUACAUAAUAACCACUUAACAAUUCUUUCAUUGAGGAGCACCUGGGUAGCUCAGUGGGUUAAGUGGUUGCCUUUGGCUCAGGUCAUGAUGGAGCCAGGUCCUGGGAUCAAGCCCCGUGUAGGGCUCCCUGGUCAGCAGGGAAUCUGCUUCUCC